GCCUGCAUUUUAACCAUAGCGUUGCCUCCUUCUGGAUUGGCCAAGUUCUGUAUUCAUGUACUCCUAUCCUUGGGCAUGCAGACUUCUGGGGCCUCCAGUUACUUCACAGACUCAUCUCUACCUCCUGGUUGCCCUGAAGAGUUAUGCAACUUUCAGGUGCACAUGUGCGUGCAGGGGUCUAUGUAGCUCAGAAGACGGCAUCCCCUGAAACCAGGGUUUCAGAUGGCUGUGAGCUGCUGCGUCGCUGCUGGGAAUCUUACCUGGGUCCUCUGCAGGAACCGUUAAGUGUGCUUAACCGCUGAGCUCUUAUCUGUGUUUGACUAAAAUUAAGUGCCUUGUUCAGAGCACACUUGGCAGUGCAAUGAUACAAGCAUAAACAUA